GGUUAAGCGACUAAGCGUACACGGUGGAUGCCCUGGCAGUCAGAGGCGAUGAAGGACGUGCUAAUCUGCGAAAAGCGUCGGUAAGGUGAUAUGAACCGUUAUAACCGGCGAUGUCCGAAUGGGGAAACCCAGUGCAAUUCGUUGCACUAUCGUUAACUGAAUACAUAGGUUAACGAGGCGAACCGGGGGAACUGAAACAUCUAAGUACCCCGAGGAAAAGAAAUCAACCGAGAUUCCCCCAGUAGCGGCGAGCGAACGGGGAGCAGCCCAGAGUCUGAAUCAGCUUGUGUGUUAGUGGAACGGUCUGGAAAGUCCGACGGUACAGGGUGAUAGUCCCGUACACCAAAAUGCACAGGCUGUGAACUCGAAGAGUAGGGCGGGACACGUGGUAUCCUGUCUGAAUAUGGGGGGACCAUCCUCCAAGGCUAAAUACUCCUGACUGACCGAUAGUGAACCAGUACCGUGAGGGAAAGGCGAAAAGAACCCCGGCGAGGGGAGUGAAAAAGAACCUGAAACCGUGUACGUACAAGCAGUGGGAGCACCUUCGGGUGUGACUGCGUACCUUUUGUAUAAUGGGUCAGCGACUUAUAUUCUGUAGCAAGGUUAACCGUAUAGGGGAGCCGCAGGGAAACCGAGUCUUAACUGGGCGUUAAGUUGCAGGGUAUAGACCCGAAACCCGGUGAUCUAGCCAUGGGCAGGUUGAAGGUUGGGUAACACUAACUGGAGGACCGAACCGACUAAUGUUGAAAAAUUAGCGGAUGACUUGUGGCUGGGGGUGAAAGGCCAAUCAAACCGGGAGAUAGCUGGUUCUCCCCGAAAGCUAUUUAGGUAGCGCCUCGUGAACUCAUCUUCGGGGGUAGAGCACUGUUUCGGCUAGGGGGUCAUCCCGACUUACCAACCCGAUGCAAACUACGAAUACCGAAGAAUGUUAUCACGGGAGACACACGGCGGGUGCUAACGUCCGUCGUGAAGAGGGAAACAACCCAGACCGCCAGCUAAGGUCCCAAAGUCAUGGUUAAGUGGGAAACGAUGUGGGAAGGCACAGACAGCCAGGAUGUUGGCUUAGAAGCAGCCAUCAUUUAAAGAAAGCGUAAUAGCUCACUGGUCGAGUCGGCCUGCGCGGAAGAUGUAACGGGGCUAAACCAUGCACCGAAGCUGCGGCAGCGACACUAUGUGUUGUUGGGUAGGGGAGCGUUCUGUAAGCCUGCGAAGGUGUGCUGUGAGGCAUGCUGGAGGUAUCAGAAGUGCGAAUGCUGACAUAAGUAACGAUAAAGCGGGUGAAAAGCCCGCUCGCCGGAAGACCAAGGGUUCCUGUCCAACGUUAAUCGGGGCAGGGUGAGUCGACCCCUAAGGCGAGGCCGAAAGGCGUAGUCGAUGGGAAACAGGUUAAUAUUCCUGUACUUGGUGUUACUGCGAAGGGGGGACGGAGAAGGCUAUGUUAGCCGGGCGACGGUUGUCCCGGUUUAAGCAUGUAGGCUGGUUAUCCAGGCAAAUCCGGAUAAUCAAGGCUGAGGUGUGAUGACGAGGCACUACGGUGCUGAAGUAACAAAUGCCCUGCUUCCAGGAAAAGCCUCUAAGCAUCAGGUAACAUCAAAUCGUACCCCAAACCGACACAGGUGGUCAGGUAGAGAAUACCAAGGCGCUUGAGAGAACUCGGGUGAAGGAACUAGGCAAAAUGGUGCCGUAACUUCGGGAGAAGGCACGCUGGUGUGUAGGUGAAGUCCCUGCGGAUGGAGCUGAGACCAGUCGAAGAUACCAGCUGGCUGCAACUGUUUAUUAAAAACACAGCACUGUGCAAACACGAAAGUGGACGUAUACGGUGUGACGCCUGCCCGGUGCCGGAAGGUUAAUUGAUGGGGUUAUCCGUAAGGAGAAGCUCUUGAUCGAAGCCCCGGUAAACGGCGGCCGUAACUAUAACGGUCCUAAGGUAGCGAAAUUCCUUGUCGGGUAAGUUCCGACCUGCACGAAUGGCGUAAUGAUGGCCAGGCUGUCUCCACCCGAGACUCAGUGAAAUUGAACUCGCUGUGAAGAUGCAGUGUACCCGCGGCAAGACGGAAAGACCCCGUGAACCUUUACUAUAGCUUGACACUGAACAUUGAGCCUUGAUGUGUAGGAUAGGUGGGAGGCUUUGAAGCGUGGACGCCAGUCUGCGUGGAGCCAACCUUGAAAUACCACCCUUUAAUGUUUGAUGUUCUAACGUUGGCCCCUUACCGGGGUUGCGGACAGUGUCUGGUGGGUAGUUUGACUGGGGCGGUCUCCUCCCAAAGCGUAACGGAGGAGCACGAAGGUUAGCUAAUCCUGGUCGGACAUCAGGAGGUUAGUGCAAUGGCAUAAGCUAGCUUGACUGCGAGCGUGACGGCGCGAGCAGGUGCGAAAGCAGGUCAUAGUGAUCCGGUGGUUCUGAAUGGAAGGGCCAUCGCUCAACGGAUAAAAGGUACUCCGGGGAUAACAGGCUGAUACCGCCCAAGAGUUCAUAUCGACGGCGGUGUUUGGCACCUCGAUGUCGGCUCAUCACAUCCUGGGGCUGAAGUAGGUCCCAAGGGUAUGGCUGUUCGCCAUUUAAAGUGGUACGCGAGCUGGGUUUAGAACGUCGUGAGACAGUUCGGUCCCUAUCUGCCGUGGGCGCUGGAGAAUUGAGGGGGGCUGCUCCUAGUACGAGAGGACCGGAGUGGACGCAUCACUGGUGUUCGGGUUGUCAUGCCAAUGGCACUGCCCGGUAGCUAAAUGCGGAAGAGAUAAGUGCUGAAAGCAUCUAAGCACGAAACUUGCCCCGAGAUGAGUUCUCCCUGAGACUUUAAGUCUCCUGAAGGAACGUUAAAGACGAUGACGUUGAUAGGCCGGGUGUGUAAGCGCAGCGAUGCGUUGAGCUAACCGGUACUAAUGAACCGUGAGGCUUAACCUU
rnacentral:rRNA from 1 species